rnacentral:rRNA from 1 species
GUUGAACGCUGGCGGCAUGCCUUACACAUGCAAGUCGAACGGUAACAGGUCUUCGGAUGCUGACGAGUGGCGAACGGGUGAGUAAUACAUCGGAACGUGCCCGAUCGUGGGGGAUAACGAAGCGAAAGCUUUGCUAAUACCGCAUAAGAUCUACGGAUGAAAGCAGGGGACCGCAAGGCCUUGCGCGAACGGAGCGGCCGAUGGCAGAUUAGGUAGUUGGUGGGAUAAAAGCUUACCAAGCCGACGAUCUGUAGCUGGUCUGAGAGGACGACCAGCCACACUGGGACUGAGACACGGCCCAGACUCCUACGGGAGGCAGCAGUGGGGAAUUUUGGACAAUGGGCGAAAGCCUGAUCCAGCCAUGCCGCGUGCAGGAUGAAGGCCUUCGGGUUGUAAACUGCUUUUGUACGGAACGAAAAGACUCUGGUUAAUACCUGGGGUCCAUGACGGUACCGUAAGAAUAAGCACCGGCUAACUACGUACCAGCCGCCGCGGUAAAAC